AUCGGAAUUACUGGGCGUAAAGCGCACGCAGGCGGUCUGUCAAGUCGGAUGUGAAAUCCCCGGGCUCAACCUGGGAACUGCAUUCGAAACUGGCAGGCUUGAGUCUUGUAGAGGGGGGUAGAAUUCCAGGUGUAGCGGUGAAAUGCGUAGAGAUCUGGAGGAAUACCGGUGGCGAAGGCGGCCCCCUGGACAAAGACUGACGCUCAGGUGCGAAAGCGUGGGGAGCAAACAGGAUUAGAUACCCUGGUAGUCCACGCCGUAAACGAUGUCUACUUGGAGGUUGUGCCCUUGAGGCGUGGCUUCCGGAGCUAACGCGUUAAGUAGACCGCCUGGGGAGUACGGCCGCAAGGUUAAAACUCAAAUGAAUUGACGGGGGCCCGCACAAGCGGUGGAGCAUGUGGUUUAAUUCGAUGCAACGCGAAGAACCUUACCUGGUCUUGACAUCCACGGAAGUUUUCAGAGAUGAGAAUGUGCCUUCGGGAAC
rnacentral:rRNA from 1 species